rnacentral:piRNA from 1 species
GUGAGUCCAAGAAAUUCGGAGGUCCUGGCG